GCAUCGGUGGUUCAGCGGUAGAAUGCUCGCCUGCUACGCGGGCGGCCCGGGUUCGAUUCCCGGCCGAUGCA
rnacentral:tRNA from 1 species